AAUUUUUUGGUCUGCUGAGUUGGUCGGGCACAGGCCCACCCAGGCCCACCCUUAGAUACGCCCCUGAGUGUACUGUUGACUGAAUGAGGUUUUCAAAAUUCAAAUGUGGCAAAGCCUGAGCCUAGGCAUAUAGUUUGCUCCAUAAUUUCUCUUUUAAAUGUUUAUUAUGAUGUAUUCAGGUGGAAGGGAGCGUCGAGCGGGGAUGAGAUCUCGAGAUGUAGACGGCAAUGCCACACCCACGAAGACACCAAUAAUGAUGCUAUCAUUGAUAAAUGAUCCUAUUACUGAAUUGUAUGAUCUUGAAACUGGCCCUCAACUUCUCGUAGAGACUAAAAAUGAAUAACGAAUACAGUUGCGUGUGUACUUCAAGUGGUAUGAUAAUAGCACUACUUAUUAAUGAUCACUGCGUAGUCAAGUUAGAUUGCAUGUCACACAUGAUCAGUACUUACACAUUCAUGCAAGGGUAAUUAAAACAACAGCAGCAGUCAUUUGAUGUCGUUAAUUUCACGUACAAAUAUUUCUGUUCAUCUGUUUCAGGUCUCCUGAUGGUAGUGGUACUUGUAUAUUGACUUACAAUAAUGACAAUAUACUGAGAUUGUAUAAUCUUCCAAAUGAGCUCUACAGCUCUUCAUUCCCUGAUCACAUUCAACUAGAAACGGAUCCUGUUGGUUAUGCUAGAGAAGGCGAAAUUAUAUACGAUUAUGCCUGGUUCCCUAGAAUGUCAUCCUAUGAUUAUGCCAUGCCAUUUGCUGCAACAAGCACAUACACAAAGGAUGAAUGUGAUGAAAAUGA